GGCAAGUGUCUUGAAACAAUCUGGAAGGGAGGAAAGAAGUUCCCCAAGUCCCUUGAGGAACUGAAAGUGUCUGGGGGUGGGGACAGAAGUUCAGAGAUGACUCAGCUCAAUCUGCAGGUUAGAAGGGAAACCAGAGGCAGGGGAUUUCUAGUCUGCUUUGGACUUUUGAAAACGAGCUGUGUGAUUCCUGCCAUCUAACCCCUCCUGGCUUCAGUCUCUCCCUUUUGUAAAAGUCAAUAAUAACAAUACCUGGGCCCUACCACAGACAAUGGCCACGGGCACCAAAUGGGAAAAAUGCAUGUAAACUUGAUAGCAAAGAACAAAUUCCUUACCAGACUUGAGAUUUCACCAGUAUCAUUUCCCCUGUAGCUUCAACGAUUUGCAAACCCAAAUCAACAACGUGGAAGCAGUAACAAGAGACUCUGAAGUGGAGCAACAGGGUAGGGAAAUAGACCCUCGGACCCUGCGUCUGUCGCCUGCAUUCAAAUUCACCACUUACUGUGUGAUCCCAAGGCAGAGAAGCCUUUGCUAAUUUCACAACAGGAACGCACACAGGAAAUUCGAGAACAAGGCAAAUCUACACACAGAGCCCAGCAUCUUCAAGCAAACUCACUGAGACCUCCUAUCUCUGAAGUCUUAUGAGCAAGAAUUGCUACACCCAGGCUUUGCCAACAUGACCCAAAUGCAGAUGAGAAACUGACCAAAACAUUUUAAAACUGUGUAUAUGAAGUUAUUUUGAAAUCAGGACAACAGCCAAGCCUCAGAGAGGAAGGCACCAGAGAAACACUCUGCUACACUACCCUGUGUCCAUAAAAGACAACUAUGUUCAAAUGAAGAAUUGAGGACUGUGGCACUGCUGAUAUCAGAGAUGGACAAUGCUUCAGAGUAUGAGGAGCAUUUGAGUUGGAGAAAUAAUUAGGCACCAUUUAUUUGAUUGACUUGGAUAAAUGCUUGUGAACCACUGUUUAAAUUACACAGUUAUUGGACUUCCCUGGUAGCACAGUGGUUAAGAAUCCAUCUGCCAAUGCAGGGCACAUGGGUUCAAGCCCUGGUCCGGGAAGAUCCCACAUGCCGCAG